GCCUUCCUCCUGGGAGAUGAUUGGUCUCUCCGUAGAAGUCUUAGCAAUAUUGACUGACCUCUGAAGGUCAAGUUCAGGGGCCACCAGUCAAUACUCACGGCCAACUUUCAUGGGACCCUUACUCUGCGCAGGCUCUGACGCUAAAUGAAAAGAUUUUAUUUCACUUUCUCUAAAGAUGCACUCAACCAUUUGCCAAGCAUUCUGUUCUCUGACUCAGCUGGGUCUUCGCAUAGGCUGUUUCUCAGUUAAAAAUGCUCUUCCCGGCUUUAUCCACCUGAUAAGCCUGUACCCAGCCUUUCACUUAUAACCUCACAGGGACACUUUGUCUCAGGGUCUGGAGGAGGGCUAGCCUGCAGGAUGCCUGGCACCGGCUGGAUGUCCAGUCCACGCUCCUGACCUCCUGCCCGAGUCAGUGAACACGUGAGCAAACCUGCCUGGUGUCCAAACAGCCAGCGCACAGCAGGUGGUCCACCCUCGGCUGGCCAGUCCCCUUAGAGGCACGGUGGCCCACUUUCCUUUUCUGGUUCUGGUUUCCGUUUUGCUUCAAGGAGCACCAAGUCCUGUCUGGCCUCUUUCAGGAUGAAGGUGAAGAGUGGGGAGGAGCACCGCCUUCUCCUUGUUUGCGCCCACUGAUGGAGCCCCACCUGACUCAUCUUCCAUUCUCUUGCUGGUUCUACCCAGGAAAGAACGCCCAGCCUGAGGUCACCGCAAGCUCAUGUUCCCCUGUCCCGGGCUCUGGGUUGACCCUCCUUCACCCAGCAGACUUCAGACCACGUAGAGUGAAGCCACGCACAGGCCUGUUUCUCCCCAGGAAUCUCCGUGUGACCGCCCAGGGCAGGAACGAAGGGCUUCAGGGUGGCUGGGGUCACCCAGAAAGAACUGGAGGGAUUCAGCGCUAGCAGCGCGGAAACGCCGAUGCCUUUCAGAGAGCUCUGUGCCAGCGAGUCAAGGAAGGUGGCAGCCCCGCUUUUGGAAACAAUCCAGAAGCCUUGUGUGCGUGUGCAAGCGUGUGACUCAGAGACAACUCUUCUAGACACUAACAGCGGCCGCGAUUUGGUAACUGCUGGCUGGGGGCCGGGCCCUGGCCCAGUGCGUGCAUCUCACGGACCCUCAUGGCAACGCUGUGGGAUGAGUGCUCUCUUAGCCCUGCACAGAGGCACAGAGAGGCUAAGAAACUGGUCCAAGGGCCCCCAGCUAGCCCGAGGCACAGGGGUCUCGAACCUAGGUCGUGUGGCCCAGAGACUGUGACCCUCCUCACAGUCUGCUGCCCUGGUGUGUCACCCUUGUCACUGCUUCACACGGUUUGCACCUCUGCGACCUCAUGGUCAACUUGUGUGCAGCCCUGCGAGGCUCAAAGGGGCCCAGCAGGGCCCAGCACCAAGUAGGCUCUCAUCUGCUUGGCAGGUGUUUCCGAGUGCUGAGUCAGGGGUAGGCGAGAGUGGGAGCAAGGUCAGGCUUGGGGCUGGCCAUCCCCAAGCACGUGGCCUUGACUGGGCCGAAAUAAACCAGUUCACGCUCUGUGCGGUCUUGGGCACCGGAGGCAGGCAGGGCCGCUUCAGUGGAAAUGCUCAGCCAGGCAAGGGACGUGGGUGGCUGGGGUCAAGAGCUGGGGACCCCGGUCUCUGCUCUGCGCCCAAUGACUUACAGUCACUUUAGCUAGUCCUUGUCCCUCCCAGGGCCUCUGUUUUCCCAUUGGAAUGAUGAUGCCAGGGAGAGUCGGGUGGCCUGGAAAGGCCCAUUCAGCUGGCUGAGACAGUGGGGCUGCGACCUGCCUGAGACCCCCGACCGGGCAUGAGGGUCCAGGGGGUGGCCUGCUCCCAGUCUGGCCCUGCCUGGGGCUCAGGCUGUCUCAGAUCCUGGGCCAGCUCCAUCCCAUGCUGGCUCACGCACGGGGUGGCACCAAAUGUUCCCAUCCUUCAAGCUCACACCUCCAUCAUGACCCAGGAGAGGUCUCCCUUUGUCUGUGUCCUCAGGCAGAUCCCCAGCAUGAAAACACUGCUGAAGACACUGGGCGGGGCUUUUUGAAGUCUCUUUGCAGACAUUUUCUCAUUUCAGAUUAAUAAAAUUCUAAAUUCUGAAUUAAUAAUUCAAAACGAUAAUGAAAUUACUAUUUACAGAGUUGCAGAUGCAGGGGCCUUUCUACGUGUCUCUAAUCCACACAGUGGUCCUCUCAUGGUAUUAGUAUGGGUCCUAUUGCAUUUUGCGAUGAGGAGACAGGUUCCAAGAGGUAGAGGCAACUACGUAAGGUCACAGAGCUGGGCAGGGACAGAGCUGGCAAAUGGAGGUGUCGUGUCUCAUUCCAGGGCCCAGGUUAUUUCCUCUCUAAGCACUUACCUCAUUGGCUCUUCCUUCAUCCAGAGCACCCACUCUGUGCCAGGCACCCUACUAGGUGCUAGGGCGCACAGUGAACGGGCCAGGUCUGCUCCCUGUGUGGAUCUAUAAGAAGCCUGAGAGGUAGUAAUAUUCCUCAUCAGAGGCAAAAUGAAAGCUCUCUCCACGUCGACGCCACUCCUCCCAGCUCUACCAUGUACACUGUGACCUUGGGCAACCCCCUUCCCUCCCUGUGCCCUUGUCCCGUGGCUGUAAUAAGGGGAUACGAAUCAUUUCUGCCUCCUUGGGUUGUUGUGAAGAAUCAGUUAGGAAACGCACAUCCACAUCCAGCAGUUAGGACAGAGACCGGACCAGGAAAGGUGCUCGGUACCCCGUCAAAGCCUGUCCUUAGUUUGUCUGCCAAGGAUGCUCAGCAAAAACUAUUGUCCCUUCAGCCCCAAGGCACUGAGGGGCCAGGUCUCCAAGGCCACAGAGUAAUGGGUGACACCAAAGUGCAGCCCUCGAGGGUCCCAGAAGGGUGUUCUCUUCCCCCUGAAUCCUCUGGCACCUGCCUCCUGUGACCUUUCCCCUCUGGGUUCUGGAACGGAGGGCCGCAAGAUGAGGGGUUAAGCAGUUGCUGGCAGGGCAGCAGACACUUCAGGAACUGCAGGGCUGAGAGGACUUCUAAGAAAGAGGGAGGCGGGAAGGGACACAUUUGUCCCGGCCUGAGGGCCAGAGGUCAGCCUGGCUCCCGGCCCAGAGCCUGGCUCUCAAGGGGCCUAGUGUCCAGCCCAGCCUGGCUCAGUCCCUGCACGCGGUCUUCAAGGCUGAGGCGGGUGGCGAUCCACCUCCAUCCAGAGCCUUCUCCUGGCCUUCCUGGUAGAGCUGCCCGAGGCCGAGGCCUGGGGUGAGGUGGCCAGGGCUGGGAAGGCAGCCCUCUGCCCUCGUCACCAUUCAGGUCCUCCUGAGAGUCGGGUUUGCCUUCGGGGGCAGGGGUCUUGAAUUCCAGCCUGGCCUUUUGUGGGGACACAGGUCAUGUUCCCAGAUAACUCUGAGGCCCAGUUCUCUUGUCUGUAAAUGGGGCAAAUAGUAGCAUUGCCACCUGGAGGAGGGGCAGUGAAGCCUUAAUUUCUCCAAGUAGCUGGCAUGGAGCUGGUGUUCCAAUGAUGCCAGGCCCGGGUCCUAUAGGUGGGACACAAGUGAUGGGGCCUCAGUAUUUUUAGGGCUGGGGCUGGCAUUUCUCAGUGCUCUGCGUCUCCUGGGGGGGUCGCGUCUGGGUCACAGGCAUCACCAGGGCCUGUUCUCUGUCUAGCGGGGAGACCAUCAGGCAGAGUGCCUGGGACGCUGUGGGUCAGGGGCUGACCACAGCCUAACUGUGGGAUCCUGAAAUGCAGGGCUGUGUGUGGUUGAGGACCAGCACCCAGGUGCCCUGAGCCGGCCACUGUACCCUCAGUAGUAGCUGGGGGAGGCCUGCCGGGGCCCUCGCAGAGCAUCAUGUGGCGGUAGGCUCUCUGGACCCCAGUCUGAAAGGCCCAGAAGGAGGGCCAGCUGGUUCUGUCAGUGGGCGGUCACCGGGAUGAUUCAGCCCCAGGACCAUGACCCAGUGGAGCCCCAAGGCUGGACGCGGGAACCAAGGGUCCUGGCCACCCCCGACCCCCAGGGCCUGCUCCACUAACUCCCUGCUACUCUGCCCCACUGCAGGGGGCCGGCCUUGCGGCCAGGAAGGGGCUCGGGGACUUUUGAAGGGAUUUUGGAGGGCCAAGCCAGGCAGCUCAGCCCCCGCCGGCUUCGGCUCACUGACUCAGCCCUCACCUUGACCUUUCCUUCCCACUGGCUAUUUCUGGGUGUUUCCUGUCCCCUAAAUAGGUAAAGAAAAGGGAAGCGAAAGAAGCUCAAUCCGUGGCUUCUUUAACAGCUGGCAAAUCAUUUUCUUUAUUAUUAAUU